rnacentral:rRNA from 1 species
GACAGAGGGUGCAAACGUUGUUCGGAAUUACUGGGCGUAAAGCGAGUGUAGGCGGUCUGCUAAGUCGGGUGUGAAAGCCCCGGGCUUAACCUGGGAACUGCGAUGGAAACUAGCGAGCUGGAGUGUGGCAGAGGGGGGUGGAAUUCCGCGUGUAGCAGUGAAAUGCGUAGAGAUGCGGAGGAACACCGAUGGCGAAGGCAGCCCCCUGGGCUAACACUGACGCUCAGGCACGAAAGCGUGGGGAGCAAACAGG